rnacentral:rRNA from 1 species
GUGGGGAAUUUUGGACAAUGGGCGAAAGCCUGAUCCAGCAAUGCCGCGUGCAGGAUGAAGGCCCUCGGGUUGUAAACUGCUUUUGUACGGAACGAAAAGCCUGGGGCUAAUAUCCCCGGGUCAUGACGGUACCGUAAGAAUAAGCACCGGCUAACUACGUGCCAGCAGCCGCGGUAAUACGUAGGGUGCAAGCGUUAAUCGGAAUUACUGGGCGUAAAGCGUGCGCAGGCGGUUUUGUAAGACAGUGGUGAAAUCCCCGGGCUCAACCUGGGAACUGCCAUGGUGACUGCAAGGCUAGAGUGCGGCAGAGGGGGAUGGAAUUCCGCGUGUAGCAGUGAAAUGCGUAGAUAUGCGGAGGAACACCGAUGGCGAAGGCAAUCCCCUGGGCCUGCACUGACGCUCAUGCACGAAAGCGUGGGGAGCAAACAGGAUUAGAUACCCGAGUAGUCC